rnacentral:rRNA from 1 species
GCCGACGGCCAUACCACCCUGAAAGCGCCCGAUCUCGUCUGAUCUCGGAAGCUCAGCAGGGACGGGCCUGGUUAGUACCUGGAUGGGAGACCGCCUGGGAAUACCAGGUGUUGUAGGCU